rnacentral:rRNA from 1 species
UACGAGGGGUGCAAACGUUAUUCGGAAUUACUGGGUGUAAAGGGUACGUAGACGGCAUCUUAAGUCAGUUGUUAAAUUCCCCAGCUUAACUGGGGGUAAGCGAUUGAAACUGAGAAGCUAGAGGAUGGGAGAGAGAAGUGGAAUUCUCGGAGUAGCGGUAAAAUGCGUAGAUCUCGAGAGGAACACCGAUGGCGAAGGCAGCUUCUUGGCCCAUUUCUGACGUUGAGGUACGAAAGCGUGGGGAGCAAACAGG